GAUGAACGCUGGCGGCGUGCCUAAUACAUGCAAGUCGAGCGAAUGGAUUAAGAGCUUGCUCUUACGAAGUUAGCGGCGGACGGGUGAGUAACACGUUGGUAACCUGCCCAUAAGACUGGGAUAACUCCGGGAAACCGGGGCUAAUACCGGAUAACAUUUUGAACCGCAUGGUUCGAAAUUGAAAGGCGGCUUCGGCUGUCACUUAUGGAUGGACCCGCGUCGCAUUAGCUAGUUGGUGAGGUAACGGCUCACCAAGGCAACGAUCCGUAGCCGAACUUGGUGGUGGAUCGGCCACACUGGGACUGGGGCACGGCCCGGACCCCUGCGGGAGGCAGCAGUAGGGAAUCGUCCGCAAUGGACGAAAGUCUGACGGAGCAACGCCGCGUGGGUGAUGAAGGCGUUCGGGUCGAAAAACUCUGUUGUUAGGGAAGAACAAGUGCUAGUUGAAUAAGCUGGCACCUUGACGGUACCAAACCAAAAAGCCACGGCUAACUACGUGCCAGCCGCCGCGGUAA
rnacentral:rRNA from 1 species